GUAUGCUCUCUACAUUGCCACCGGAAGAGCAUUUGAUUUCAGUCAGGAAGACAUGCCAGCAAUUAGAAAAUGGUGGUGUCUUCUCUUACUUUGCAAGGCCAGCAUGAAAAGCCAAGACGUCGGUCUUCAAUUUCCACACGAGAAGAUGGACAUUCUGUGUAUCGCAGUGGUGUCUUGCGCCAACACCAUCUACUCAAAGCAUCGUGAUGUUCCAACAAUGAUGGAUGGAUUAAAAGCCAGAAGUCUGU